GACGAAUAUCCAAAUAGAUAGGGACAACUUGAUCAAAAGAAGAAAAAAUGAGUCAUGCGUAACAGGUUUAAUCAGGUUAAAGAGAAUCAGGGUUACACUUCAGACCUGGGAGUACUCAUCAGUGAGCUGUCAUCUAAAGAAAAGUUAUCUUCACUUAGUCGAAGGAGCGUGGCAGAAGUGAACUGUGAAUGUAUCCUCAGUAAGACUCAUUUCAAACACAGAGGAAUUCAAUCAAGUAUAAGUUCAAGAGGAUCACCUUUCAGAAAUAAUAGAAGUGGAAUUUGAAAAAAAAAGAAAAUGAUAAAACAGAAGAAGCAUGUUUGGAAAAUCCUCAACAAAAUAUACCUGAAGCAAUGAGCCUUCUGACCAA
rnacentral:lncRNA from 1 species